rnacentral:rRNA from 1 species
UAGAGUUUGAUCAUGGCUCAGAUUGAACGCUGGCGGCAGGCCUAACACAUGCAAGUCGAGCGGUAGCACAGGAGAGCUUGCUCUCUGGGUGACGAGCGGCGGACGGGUGAGUAAUGUCUGGGAAACUGCCCGAUGGAGGGGGAUAACUACUGGAAACGGUAGCUAAUACCGCAUAACGUCUUCGGACCAAAGAGGGGGACCUUCGGGCCUCUUGCCAUCGGAUGUGCCCAGAUGGGAUUAGCUAGUAGGUGGGGUAAUGGCUCACCUAGGCGACGAUCCCUAGCUGGUCUGAGAGGAUGACCAGCCACACUGGAACUGAGACACGGUCCAGACUCCUACGGGAGGCAGCAGUGGGGAAUAUUGCACAAUGGGCGCAAGCCUGAUGCAGCCAUGCCGCGUGUAUGAAGAAGGCCUUCGGGUUGUAAAGUACUUUCAGCGAGGAGGAAGGCGUUGUGGUUAAUAACCGCGGCGAUUGACGUUACUCGCAAGAAGAAGCACCGGCUAACUCCGUGCCAGCAGCCGCGGU